AGCAAUUGGUUGGAGAUCAGCAUCAAAUGCAGGGUCAGGCAGUGGUUUUAAUGUAGGCUUUGGCCCAAGCAUGGAUUCUGAAUCUUCUGGCUAGGGAAUAUUGACUUUGGGUUAUGGUUAGUUGGUAUAAACUGGUGGGAAUUCAAAUUUUUCUAAACGCAUGGUAAAUAUAUUGUAAAAUACGUAUUUAAGAAUUUUUAAAAUUGGCUUCUUCAGUGUGGAGUAUAUUCAGCAGUAUAUCUGGCAUUUUUCUUUAGAAAAAGAGCUAAAUGAAUUUUAGAAGUUUUGUUACAUAAAGGGUUGAAGUAUUGAGUGUUUGAAAGUGAACUGCUAUUAACCUGACUGAUAAACCAACACAUUACAAAAUGUUUCUCCUGCAAUAUUUUAUCCAUGGACUUGUGAAGUGAAUUAUUUGCAUGUUCAAAAUGGAAACCAUUGAUUAGAACUAUGUUUUUCUUGUUUUCAUUCAAAUCCCACCAUAUCACUUUUUUUCCUUGGGAAAUCUCCUCUUUGGAGAGCAUGGUAUCACAGUGCUUGGUUCUUUUGUUUUUGUUUUUUUAGCCCUUGUCUCCUUCAUAUACAAAAGUACAAUACAAAGCCUUCAUUUAAUCUUUCCAGUUCAUCUCAUUUCAAAUGUUUAUGGAAGAAGCACUUUGCUGAAAGUAGUGCUGUAAAUAAUUCUACCACAGGAAUACUUCUGUCUGCAUGCUUUCUCAUUCAAGAAUUCUUAUCACGCUGCACAGGCUGCAUCUUUGAUAAUCUGUAAGUGUGGUAAUGUGAACUGAAGCUGAGGGGCUGAGAACAUGUACUGAGCCUAUGGUGUGCCUUGCAGGAGUACUUGGAAGCAGAGUUCACUAGUGACUCACGGUGUCUGCAAGUAAGUUCAGAUGUCUGUUGCUUACCCAUAAGAAUGCUGCGUGCUGCAGCUCUCUCUCCUGUGCUUGGAUGCUUUUUUACAAGAGUUGUCAAUGUUGGAAAUUCUUAAAUAACACUGAUUUAAGUAAUAAUGUGUAUUUGGUUUGCAGCCCUGAAUGCAAAGAAUUCAAAGCAGAUAAUUCUCCUUUUUUGACCCUUUUGAGAUGAAAUUUUCAUGAAGUUUCUUGGCAAUAGUUUAUUUUGCUUCAAAUAAACUUAUUUGAAAAGUUGUCUGAAGUCA
rnacentral:lncRNA from 1 species